CCCUUUUACCUGAGAUAGAAAUUAACUUCUAUCUUUACAACUUCCAUUAUUUGAGGUCUUCUGCUAAAAGAGCCAAACUUUAAAAAAUUGAAAUAUAGUACAUUAUUACAUAAACUUACAGUAGUACAUUAUUUACAGGUAUAUAGCACAGUGAUUCAACAUUUUUAGAGAUGAUAUUCCAUUUAAAUGAAUGAAUGAAAUGAAAUACUGGCUGUAUUCUCUGUGCUGUCUUCCAACUGUAAGUGACUCUCUGAGGACAUGAUCGGCUGAAGGAACUUCUUGGUGCACGGGGAUGAACUGGAAGAAGAAGUCAGGGGAGGGACCAACUGAACGAGGCUGGACAGUAUGGGAGCUGUUAAUGAUGUCUGUGCUUAAAAAUAAUGAUUAUUCCAUAAAGUCAAAAAAACUAAAGUUGAAAAACUUUCUUUGCCCUCUACCUUAAAAUGAAGAAACAGAUGGCCAGCUGUAGCUGUAUAUUUCUUGUUGUUGCAAGUAAAUGCAGCCACAGGAGCUUAUUUUAUGCUAAAAGCCUCCAUCUGCUAGAUGUAAUCUUUUCGUACCUGUGGAAAAAAUGAAUAAAAUAAGAAGGACCCACUCGCUUCUGACCUUGACUCUCUGCAGAUUAUGCACCUAAGAUAGUUUCUUUUGUUCCUUGACAGGUCUUAAUUCCAAAAUGAUAGUGCUGUAGUAUUUUGACAGUUUCAUCCUUUUACCUAAAUGGGGAUGAAUUUGGCUUCCUAAUAUUCCUGGUUGGCAUAUGUUUUGCUGCAACAGAGGGAGAGGAUUUUCCUUUAAUGAGCAAUACCCUGUGUCCCUUCACAGCGUCUUUUCUUGUUGUAAAAAUGCUCAAGCAUCCUUUGCCUCUCUAGUCUAUUUGCUACACGGAAUUGAGAAAUCAUUAUAAAUAAAAGAGGUAUUAAAAC
ensembl:lncRNA